rnacentral:lncRNA from 1 species
UUCCUGGUGAUUUCUGGUGGUUUGUGAUGUUUUCUGGUGGUUUUGUGGUGGUUCCUGGUGGUUCCUGGUGGUUCCUGGUGGUUUUUGGUGAUGUCUGGUGGGUUUUGUGGUUGGUUCCUGGUGGUUCCUGGUGGUUUUUGGUGAUGUCUGGUGGUUUCUGGUGGUUGUGUGGUGGUUCCUGGUGGUUCCUGGUGGUUUUGGGGUGGUUCCUGGUGGUUCCUGGGGGGGUUCCUGAUGGUUUUUGGUGAGGUCUGGUGGGUUUUGUGGUUGGUUCCUGGUGGUUCCUGGUGGUUUUCUGGUGAUUUGUGGUGGUUUUGUGGUGGUUCCUGGUGGUUUUGUGAUGGUUCCUGGUGGUUUUGUGGUGGUUCCUGGUGGUUUUGUGAUGGCUCCUGGUGGUUUUGUGGUGGUUCCUGGUGGUUCCUGGUGGUUUUGGGGUGGUGUUCACCAAGAGGGACGUCUUCCUCAAGAGGGGCGAGGUGAUGAACCUGCUGAUGUUCCUGUCCACGUGGGAUGGGAAGGUGCCCCAGCCGGCCAUCCUGAAGCCGCGGCCGCUCUGGACGGGGAAGCAGAUCUUCUCCCUCAUCAUCCCCGGCCACAUCAACUGCAUCCGCACCCACAGCACCCACCCCGACGACGAGGACAGCGGCCCCUACAAGCACAUCUCCCCCGGGGACACCAAGGUGAUCGUGGAGAACGGGGAGCUGAUCAUGGGCAUCCUGUGCAAGAAGUCCCUGGGGACAUCGGCCGGGUCCCUGGUGCACAUCUCCUACCUGGAGAUGGGCCACGACACCACGCGGCUCUUCUACAGCAACAUCCAGACCGUCAUCAACAACUGGCUGCUCAUCGAGGGUCACACCAUCGGCAUCGGGGACUCCAUCGCCGACGCCAAGACCUACCAGGACAUCCAGAACACCAUCAAGAAGGCCAAGCAGGAUGUGAUCGAGGUGAUCGAGAAGGCCCACAACAACGAGCUGGAGCCCACCCCAGGCAACACCUUGCGCCAGACCUUCGAGAACCAGGUGAACCGGAUCCUCAACGACGCCCGCGACAAGACGGGGUCUUCUGCUCAGAAAUCCCUGUCCGAGUACAACAACUUCAAAUCCAUGGUGGUCUCGGGGGCCAAGGGCUCCAAGAUCAACAUCUCCCAGGUUUGGGGAGCUCCAUGUGGGGUUUGGGGUGGUUCCUGGUGGAUCUCAGGGGGUUUGGGGUGGUUCCUGUGGGAUCUCAGGGGGUUUGGGGUGGUUCCUGGU